AUUUCCUCUAAGUAUUUUCUCAUCCAGUAAAAAAUCUGUUCUUAGCAGCUUAAUGUCUGUUAUAUCCUUCAUUGCAGGAGUAGAAUAUUAAUCUCGUUUUAUGUUUUCGGCUCAUGACAGAGUCUAAGGCUAUGCUCUACUAUCAGGUUAGUACUAUAUAUAACUUUAUAUACAGGGUGAGUCACC